GAGUAACACGUGGAUAACCUACCUAUAAGACUGGGAUAACUUCGGGAAACCGGAGCUAAUACCGGAUAAUAUUUUGAACCGCAUGGUUCAAAAGUGAAAGACGGUCUUGCUGUCACUUAUAGAUGGAUCCGCGCUGCAUUAGCUAGUUGGUAAGGUAACGGCUUACCAAGGCAACGAUGCAUAGCCGACCUGAGAGGGUGAUCGGCCACACUGGAACUGAGACACGGUCCAGACUCCUACGGGAGGCAGCAGUAGGGAAUCUUCCGCAAUGGGCGAAAGCCUGACGGAGCAACGCCGCGUGAGUGAUGAAGGUCUUCGGAUCGUAAAACUCUGUUAUUAGGGAAGAACAUAUGUGUAAGUAACUGUGCACAUCUUGACGGUACCUAAUCAGAAAGCCACGGCUAACUACGUGCCAGCAGCCGCGGUAAUACGUAGGUGGCAAGCGUUAUCCGGAAUUAUUGGGCGUAAAGCGCGCGUAGGCGGUUUUUUAAGUCUGAUGUGAAAGCCCACGGCUCAACCGUGGAGGGUCAUUGGAAACUGGAAAACUUGAGUGCAGAAGAGGAAAGUGGAAUUCCAUGUGUAGCGGUGAAAUGCGCAGAGAUAUGGAGGAACACCAGUGGCGAAGGCGACUUUCUGGUCUGUAACUGACGCUGAUGUGCGAAAGCGUGGGGAUCAAACAGGAUUAGAUACCCUGGUAGUCCACGCCGUAAACGAUGAGUGCUAAGUGUUAGGGGGUUUCCGCCCCUUAGUGCUGCAGCUAACGCAUUAAGCACUCCGCCUGGGGAGUACGACCGCAAGGUUGAAACUCAAAGGAAUUGACGGGGACCCGCACAAGCGGUGGAGCAUGUGGUUUAAUUCGAAGCAACGCGAAGAACCUUACCAAAUCUUGACAUCCUUUGACAACUCUAGAGAUAGAGCCUUCCCCUUCGGGGGACAAAGUGACAGGUGGUGCAUGGUUGUCGUCAGCUCGUGUCGUGAGAUGUUGGGUUAAGUCCCGCAACGAGCGCAACCCUUAAGCUUAGUUGCCAUCAUUAAGUUGGGCACUCUAAGUUGACUGCCGGUGACAAACCGGAGGAAGGUGGGGAUGACGUCAAAUCAUCAUGCCCCUUAUGAUUUGGGCUACACACGUGCUACAAUGGACAAUACAAAGGGCAGCGAAACCGCGAGGUCAAGCAAAUCCCAUAAAGUUGUUCUCAGUUCGGAUUGUAGUCUGCAACUCGACUACAUGAAGCUGGAAUCGCUAGUAAUCGUAGAUCAGCAUGCUACGGUGAAUACGUUCCCGGGUCUUGUACACACCGCCCGUCACACCACGAGAGUUUGUAACACCCGAAGCCGGUGGAGUAACCUUUUAGGAGCUAGCCGUCGAAGGUGGGACAAAUGAUUGGGGUGAAGUCGUAACAAGGUAGCCGUAUCGGAAGGUGCGGCUGGAUCACCUCCUUUCUAAGGA
rnacentral:rRNA from 1 species